rnacentral:rRNA from 1 species
GCAGCAGGCACGCAAAUUACCCACUCCCGGCACGGGGAGGUAGUGACAAAAAAUAACGAUACGGGACUCUUAUGAGGCCCCGUAAUCGGAAUGAGUACACUUUAAAUCCUUUAACAAGGAUCCAUUGAAGGGCAAGUCUGGUGCCAGCAGCCGCGGUAAUUCCAGCUUCAAUAGCGUAUAUUAAAGUUGUUGCGGUUAAAAAGCUCGUAGUUGGUUCUGCGUGCCACGCUGUCGGUUCGCCGCCUGCCGGUGUAACUGGCAUGCCGUGGCAUGUCCUGUCGGUGGCGUUCGGGUGCCUUGUCUAGGUGACGGCCCUUGCCAAAAGCUUGGUGUCCGGAGGCCGGAGGAUUUCUCGUUCGCCUACUCUAUCCUACCUAGGUGCUCUUUACCGAGUGUCGAGGUAGGCCGACACGUUUACUUUGAACAAAUUAGAGUGCUCAAAGCAGGCUAAAAUUUCUGCCUGAAUAGUGGUGCAUGGAAUAAUAAAACAGGACCUUGGUUCUAUUUUGUUGGUUCUUAGGAACACAAGGUAAUGAUCAAUACGGACAGGCGGGGGCAUUCGUAUUGCGACGUUAGACUUGGCAAAUGCUUUCGCGGUGAAAUUCUUGGAUCGUCGCAAGACGCACAAGAGCGAAAGCAUUUGCCAAGUAUGUCUUGAUUGAUCAAGAACGAAAGUUAGAGGUUCGAAGGCGAUCAGAUACCGCCCUAGUUCUAACCAUAAACGAUGCCAGCCAGCGAUCCGCCGAUGUUCCUCCGAUGACUCGGCGGGGAGCUUCUUCCCGGGAAACCAAAGCUUUUGGGUUCCGGGGGAAGUAUGGUUGCAAAGCUGAAACUUAAAGGAAUUGACGGAAGGGCACCACCAGGAGUGGAGCCUGCGGCUUAAUUUGACUCAACACGGGAAACCUCACCAGGCCAGGACAUUGGAAGGAUUGACAGAUUGAUAGCUCUUUCUUGAUUCAGUGGGUAGUGGUGGCAUGGCCGUUCUUAGUUGGUGG